CAGUAGCCGCGGUAACACGUAGGGUGCAAGCGUUAAUCGGAAUUACUGGGCGUAAAGCGUGCGCAGGCGGCUAUGCAAGACAGAUGUGAAAUCCCCGGGCUCAACCUGGGAACUGCAUUUGUGACUGCAUGGCUAGAGUACGGUAGAGGGGGAUGGAAUUCCGCGUGUAGCAGUGAAAUGCGUAGAUAUGCGGAGGAACACCGAUGGCGAAGGCAAUCCCCUGGACCUGUACUGACGCUCAUGCACGAAAGCGUGGGGAGCAAACAGGAUUAGAGACCCCUGUAGUCCCUGUCUCUUAUAA
rnacentral:rRNA from 1 species